UUUCAACCGUGGCGGCUUCGGAGAUAACGAUGGUCGUCCAAUGAGUUGCUCCCAGGGAGAUAUCGAAUUUGGGAUACACAUUGUUGCUGUCGAAGUUGCCGUAAAGGAAAGUGGCUCUCACGAGGUAACGGUUCCUGCUUGUGACGUUGAGAGUGUAGCAGUAUUUUCUUGAGUCGGCAGGGAAGUGUCUUAGAGUGGUGUACUGAGUCUUUGUUUCGUUGAGUGAAGAUAUAUUAGCGGUUGCUCCGAAGAGAUGGUGAUCAUCAGGUGUCCAGUUAAGUCCAAGUUCAUCAGUGAAUGGCUCUGUGCCUCCACAAUCCAAGCUCACAAAACCUGCCCCCAUCAUCAACAAUAACAAAAGUUUGAGUUUUUAUGUUGGAAUCAAUUUCAAUUCCUACAAAGAUUCCAUUUUUUUCUCAAAUCUCAACUCAGGGAACUAACGAAAGGCGAGAUUUUCAAAAUAAAGGAGAAACCUUACUAAGAAAACAUCAGAGAGUACUCAAAAACAGACAAUUACCUGCGGAUUGAGCAGAUGAAGAAGUGAAGAGACAAGUUGAAGCUAGCAGACACGACAAAAGCAGUGAGACUCUCAUCAUCUCCAGCUCGGACAUAACACUGUUCAACAGUUUUACAAAAAAAGUGAAUGUGAUCUCAGAAAAGUUAGGGAAUAAUUAGAAAUUCCCAGAAACAGAACCUAAAGUUAAGUACUUGUCUUAAACUCUUGAGAGAGAUCUGAUUAACACAAUUAAAACACUUAAGGGGGGCGUGGAAGAGAUGAGUUUGUUUCUUCCUCGUUAAGUGUUUGCUUUUCUUAUGUGAGCAGCUUUUGCACCGGAGUGGAGGGAGAGAGAGAAAGGUAUUAAAGGUGAAAUAUGGGGUCCAUCUUCGCCUGGACUCUACUGGCUUCGAGUUUUUGACAUCUAACGGUUCUUAUGGCUUUACACUUAAUUUAAUGGUCCAGAUCAUGUGUGGUCCAACUUUUCAUAACGUAGAGGAUUCUCAGUCCACUGCUGUUUCUACCAAAACGGUGUCGUUUCAUGUUUCCCGAUAAGCGAAUUUUUAUUAUAAUCUACAUGUUUGUUUAAGUGAAAAUGAUUAUUUUGUAACUGAGAAAAACGAUAAAUAUUCUGAUAUAUCAUACGCUAAACAUGAAUCUGAUUAAUGACAGAAAUUCAGUUUUUAUUCGGUAUAUUCUUGACUUUAUUCUUUAUUUUUAUUUUGAUCAAGAUACUUGACUUUAUUUUGUCACAGAUACAAAGAUAAGUUUUUGUUUUGAACCGUAUACGUCGAAGUGUUUUCGGUAUCCCAAGAAGAAGAAGGAAAUAAACAACAUUAAUUAUUCUCUUUAUCGACAUCAAAUAGAAAAGUUGAUCGUUAACUAAUCGACCCUAGUAGUGACUCAAACGAGUGGGACACACGUGACAGCAUUCCCAAAAUAAGUCUCCCACAUACAUGUUCUAUGGUUUUAUAAUGUUUGAAAUUUAGAAAACUUGAAAUUCAGUGUUUUCCAUAAUGUUUUAACAUAAUAAAAUGUAAGAUAUAACUUGAGUGAAAUAUUGUAGUCCUUUUCUAAUUAACAAUAAUGUAGACAAAAUGUACUCCUAUCAUCCUCAUUAGGCCCUGGCAUUUUAACCUGGAUCUGAAGACCCGAACCGAAACCGACCCAAAAAUACUUGAUCCGGAACCGGACCGAAAAUUUACAAGUACCUUUUGGAUCUAAAUUUUUUAACCCGAAAGAACCGAAACCGAAAAGGAACCGACCCGGAUAGAUCCGGACCCGAAGAACCGACCCGAUAAGAACCGAUUUGUACCCGACUUAAAAACAUGUAUAUCUAAAACUAUGAUUUUUUGUGUUCUAUUAUAUAUAUAUUAUUUUAUGAUUUAGUUGAAAUAUCUUUUGUGAACAACAUUUGUUAUUAUUUUUUAACAUUUUAAGUAAUAUAAAGCUUUAAAAUGUAAAAUUUAGAGUUUUUAAAUAUUUUAUUUUAAUUAUUAAUAGUUUCAUAUAAGUCAUUUUGUAAAAUUUUAGAUAUAUAUGACAAAUAUUCAACUAAGUUGAUGGAAUUGGGUAUAUCAUGUCCUUUUCAAAUCCUAAAUACCCGAACCUGACCCGGACCCGAUAUGGACCCGAAAAAUUACGGGUAUUUUAUGGGUAUUUUAAUUAUAGACCUGAACCGACCCGGAUCCGAGAAGAACCGACCUGAACCGAAAAUUUCUAAGUACCUAUUGGGUCUAAAUAUUUAGGACCCAAAAAGACCCGGACCCGAAAGAACCGGCCCGAACCCGACCCGAAGACCCGAACUGCCCAGGCCUAAUCCUCAUAUUAAGAAAUUGACAAAUUCAAAGUCAUCAAUCAAUGUUAUAAUUUUUUUGGCAAAUAAGUGGUAAAAAGAUUUUGUAGAUAGAUUAAAACAGAGCAUGGAUAUGUUCAAGACUUCAAGUUGUGUGAUCCUGUAGAUAGAUUUGAAAAAGGUUUGAAUAAGAAAUUUAGAUAUAUCAAUUAGGGUUAAACACCAGAAUUUAAUUAAUCAUUCCUAAGCAUGAUGUGAUCAAUAUCUUAAUUAUACAGAUAGUCAGAUUUUGUUCGGAUAUAGUUGAACUUGUUUUUUACUUUAUUUUCGUCAAGCUACUGUAUUGAAAAUUGUAAAAAGGCUAAAAUAUUUUUAUUUUCGAAAACGCCAAUAAAAUGCAUGGAUCAAUUAAAAGGUAAAAUAUUUUUUUUUGCAUUGAGACUAAUAAUACUCCAGCAACCGUCAAACAUUGAGAAGAUGGCACCAUAGGGUUUAGGAAGAUUAGACAAACUUGAGAUAUGAGUGUUUAACUGUUUUAUCGACUUCCUAAACCAUUGUCGCAUCGGCCAAUGAGCACUCUGUCUCUUGCAUUACUAAAAUGGAGUAUGUUUUUUUUUUUGGGUCAAAAAAUGGAGUAUGUUUCUUUUGCCUUUCCCAAUAGGCGUUAGAAUCUUCUCUUCGUUUAAGUACGUUUCAAACUCUAAUUGUAUUCGACGUAUUGUUUUUAUUUUAUUCAGUCGAAACUCCAUUUGUAUUUUCUCUCCAUUUGGAUCAUCUGUACUAAAUUUUUAAGAGGCAAACACUGCAUGACAAGAUCCUUUUAUUGUGUGAACACUCCGACAAAAACUAAACCAUCUCUUUGUGUAAACUUGGUGGUUUCUAUUAUGGACUUGAUUUAUGAAAAAAAGGUAAGAAAUCACUUAAAAUUAGGUAAGUAAUGGGGCACAAGGUUUCUAUGAUGUAUCCUUGAGAGUAAUGUAACCUCGUUAGCGAACUCUCUCUUUCCUUGGUACGAGUUAUUCCCAAGAACCUUCACUGCAAUCUCUUUCCCAUCUUUUGUUAAACCAUAGUACACAAUUCCAAAACCUCCUGACCCAAUCCGCUUCUCAAACUUGUUUGUGGCUUCCUCGAUCUCGUAGAGUGUGAAGCAAUGCGCAGCGUCUCCAUGAGCUUCACUCAAGGUAGAUGACGCUCUUUGAACAUGCGUGGGACGAGUUGUUAACUCUGCUGAAAGUAAACCAAAAACGAAAAAGGUGAGUAACAUUAAUCCAAACACAAGAUGCAAAAGAGUAAAACAAAAUACCUGAAGUUUUCCUCAUCUUGUUAUCCUCCUUUAGUUUGCACAUGCACAUGAGAGAGAUAAUGGUGACGAUUAGGAGAACAAUAGCACCAACUGAUGCACCAAUGAUGACACCGAGCUUCCUCCCUUUAUCUCCACCUUCUUUAAGAUUAUAGUUCCCAGAGAAGCUGCACAAUAUACACACAUAGAAGAAAACAUGAGUGUACUGAUCUAGCUAAAAUAGUUUAACUCUGUACUUGAAUCAGACGAAAAGACUUACUUCGAGAUCACGUUCUUGGUCAGGCUGGAUGGUAUUUCCCCCGUUAACAUAUUGUUCUGCAAGUACCUGCAAACCAUCAUGCAAGUUAAGAACACAAUCAUUGUCCAACCACCAUAUCAGUUAAGAUCCUUUUCUAAGUUGCUUACAGUUCCGUAAGAUUUGGGAGCUUAGCCAACGAGGAAGGGAUCUUUCCGGUUAACCGGUUGUUCUCCAGGUGACUGCCACAUCAAAAAAAUUUAGUCCAUCAGCAUGUAUACAAAACCAAUAGACAACUUUGAUCCUAAAGAGAGUGUGUUGUUUACAUUAUUUUCAGGUUCAGACACCUAGAGAAGUCCGGUAUUGAACCUGUCAAAGAGUUCCCAUCAAGCAAUCUGCCAUGGACAAGAAGUUGCAACAUCAAUAACAGAGAAACACAUCUAUAUGUUUCUAAAGAUAACAAAAGUGAAGUAACUUACAGCUCAACCAAACCAGUCAACUGCGUCAGUUCAGAAGGUAUCUCUCCGGUCAAGUUCAUAUCCGACAGCUUGCUGAAGCAAUUAACAACAGGCAAAGUAAAAAAUAAUGAACCAUCAUAAGAUGCUCAUGCUUCAAAUAAAGCUACUUACACAGUAACAACUCUUGGCUGUGGAUCAGAACUGCAAGUCACCCACGACCACGGUGACGGUAAACAUGGGUCACCACCUUCUUGACCCCAUACAGUUGAAGAAUAUAGAGAUGCCAAAUCAGCCAUAACACUUGCUGCAAACACAAUCAACCACCUUAGAGACACCACAACACUAAACACUAAACCCACAAAAAAAAAGAAACGCAAAAAACUCACCAUCAACAGAACCAUCACUCUUCUCCAGGUACUUACUAAUCUCCAUAGCAUUCAGAAUAGGUCCUCUCGAGGAAUCAGCCGUUUUAGCGAACCGGAAGUUGAGCACAUAAGGAAGGGUUAUGUUUACAUAGCCAGGCUCGUAAACCUUGUACGCUCUCUGAGUGUUCUCCUUGACGUCAACAAUAGAUUUGCUGUACUCAGGAUGAUCAGGCAGAAUCAACCUGAACUUCCUCGACUCGUCUUCAGCCAAAUCCUCUAUCUCAGCGAAGUAUGUGAAGGCCCGGCCGUUACCAGGGAAGCCUUCGAGAUUCAUCCUGUAAGUUAAGGACCCGUUGGUACCCACCACAGCCGUCUGCAUAACCUUCUGUGGAGGUUUGUCCAUCACCGCGCCGUUGUCGAUAGGGGAUGUGGUUGACACUCUCAUGGUACCAGCAGCAACAUCCACGAGAUAGUUAGCUUUCUUUAGCAAAUCAGAUUCCCAUAUUCUGUCAUAUGGAUCAUCCGGAUACCUGCAAUCAACAACUUAUUCUCUCCGCACAAUGUGGACUCAAGAAGCAGAUUAUGAACUACUACCUCACUUCACAUAUAUUCCCUCCGUUUCAUUUUAAAUAUUGUUGUACAGUUUAAAUUUUUGUUUCAUUAUAAAUGUGUUUUUAUAUUUUCAAUGCAAAUAUUUGAUGGAUUUUCCACUUUUAUCCUUAUCUCUCAGCUCGUUAAUUAACAAAUAAAACAGUGUAUUCGUUAGGGGUAUAAUAGAAAGUUUAAUGAUUUUAUUAAUGUGUGGGAGUAUUAAGAAACACAUUAAAUCACUAUUAUAAAUGCAUCAUUUUUUGCAAUUAUCAAUUUUUUUCAUAAGAAACAUUGUGAAAUAUUUUUUUUCUAAAACAUCUAUCCAAGGAAACGGACUAACCUCACAGGAUCUUCAGUUUCUGCACCGAAGUUUAUCCGUGCGGACACACUGAGAUGAAACUUGUCUUCAAACUCAGUGAGAUACAUUGAACCAUUCAACUGUCUAAGCUCAAGAGUGGAUAUAAACGGCUGUCCCGUCGUGGCAUUGGACAAACAAACACUAACACUAGGACUAGAAGCCAGAAACACCAGCUCCGCCGUUUCAACCGUGGCGGCUUCGGAGAUAACGAUGGUCGUCCAAUGAGUUGCUCCCAGGGAGAUAUCGAAUUUGGGAUACACAUUGUUGCUGUCGAAGUUGCCGUAAAGGAAAGUGGCUCUCACGAGGUAACGGUUCCUGCUUGUGACGUUGAGAGUGUAGCAGUAUUUUCUUGAGUCGGCAGGGAAGUGUCUUAGAGUGGUGUACUGAGUCUUUGUUUCGUUGAGUGAAGAUAUAUUAGCGGUUGCUCCG
rnacentral:lncRNA from 1 species